rnacentral:rRNA from 1 species
CCUACGGGAGGCAUCAGUGGGGAAUAUUGGACAAUGGGCGAAAGCCUGAUCCAGCCAUGCCGCGUGUGUGAAGAAGGCCUUCGGGUUGUAAAGCACUUUCAGUGGGGAAGAAAGCCUUGGGGCUAAUACCCUCGAGGAAGGACAUCACCCACAGAAGAAGCACCGGCUAACUCCGUGCCAGCAGCCGCGGUAAUACGGAGGGUGCGAGCGUUAAUCGGAAUUACUGGGCGUAAAGCGCGCGUAGGCGGUCUGAUAAGCCGGUUGUGAAAGCCCCGGGCUCAACCUGGGAACGGCAUCCGGAACUGUCAGGCUAGAGUGCAGGAGAGGAAGGUAGAAUUCCCGGUGUAGCGGUGAAAUGCGUAGAGAUCGGGAGGAAUACCAGUGGCGAAGGCGGCCUUCUGGACUGACACUGACGCUGAGGUGCGAAAGCGUGGGUAGCAAACAGGAUUAGAUACCCUAGAGUC